UCAUUGUUUUGUAUUGCUUUUUAUAUCCUAUUAUGCUAGGUUUACAUCUGGCCACGAUUACCACGAUGUCCCCGAUUCCAGAGCAUCGUGGCGAACGUAAUAGAGCGUGGAGUCGAAUCGGGGUGAUCGUGGGGGAGCCUAACGGAACGUGGUUGAAUCGGGGACAUCGUGGGCAUCGGGACAGAUUUUUAAUCAAACUUAAAUUUCACCACGAUUGCCCCGAUUCAUUUUAUAAUCUCAAAUCGUAGGUCAAAUCGCAGGAGAUCGCAACAAAGCGGCUUUGUCGUGGAAGAUCUUAACAGGACGUAACGGAACGUGGUGGAGCGUGGAAGCCAAUCGUGUUGAUCGCAACAAAGCGUAACAGAACGUGAUGCAAAUCGUGGGCUCGAUCGUAGCAACAAAACGUGCUGAUUUCAGAAAGAUCAACCUAUUGACAGCGGCUGUGAAACAGGAAAAUUUGGGAUUGAUUGCAGCUUAGAAUGUGGAAAUUGUAUAAAUAAUACCUUCUGUAACAAUAUUUCUGGCCGGUGUCCGGACGGAUGUGAUCCCGGAUGGACUGGUCAAUUGUGUAAUAUAGAAUGCGCAAAUAAAACGUUCGGUUUAAACUGCUCCAAUCGUUGCGGGAAUAAUUGCAAUUCUGAUGGAAGAUGUUACAAAAAUAACGGAAUAUGUAUAGGCGGCUGUACAUCUGGGUACGACUACAACCAUGAUAAGACAUGUAAUACCGCCUGUUCAACUGGAUUUUUCGGACAAAACUGCACUCAUAGGUGUCACUGUUCAAAUAACGAUUCUCUGAAUGCGUGUGGAACAACAGACGGCAGUUGUCCAAAAGGCUGCGAAGAAGGAUGGACUGGUCGUAACUGCAGUGUUUUGAAAAUAAGUUACCAGGAGUCUGGUGAUUCAGUGGUUGUUGUUGCCAUUUCUAUUUCCGCAUCAACAGCGACAGUCGUCGUACUUGCCACUGUCGUCGGAGGUUGUAUCUACUGCAAAAGGAAAGAUCGGCAAUCAACAACAGCCGACACCGAAUCUGUAGGGGCACCAAGUGCGUCAACGUCAAACUCUGAUGAUUAUAUCACAAACAUUGGUAUUGCGAGAACAGUGAACACAUGAUUUCAACGAACAAUAACCAUACAACGCAACAUAAGAUUGUGCAAGCGUUUGUUAACUGUACAAUGGGAAGGUUAUUGAACCACAUUGAUCAGCAAUUAUGACCAAUACAAGAAUACCUUGCGAUAUGCCGUAUGUUCAAUCUAUUUGCUUAUAUGUUUUAUGUAAUUUAAUUUUUAAAUAAUUGUUUUAAUCUAACGAUUUUAAUAAAAGUAAAAGUUAUCCAAAAUAAUUAUAGCUAUAAAGAAAAUAUAAUGAUCCUGUCAUUAGAUGCAAUUAUUAACAGAUUAUGGUAAACCUUUUUAACAAUUAAAUCCAUAAUUUAUUAUAUGUAAUAUUGUAGCAGUAUAUUAUCUUUAAAAAUAUUCAAACGGAAAACACUCGUUCUAUGAUAAGUGCAACAUGCCAAAAUGAGACACAAAUAAAGAGCAAGAAAUACUGAUGCAAGUUCAUUACAAAAUAUGAGGGUCAUAAUUUCCAUAUAAUGCCCUAUAAUGCCCACCAGAAUAAACGUCAUGAAGCUAGAGUAUCGUUAGGUGUUUUUGUCUGCACAAACUUAUUUUCACAUCUCAGCAUUUCAUUCAGUAGCAUUAAAAGUUGUAUUGCAAUCUGUAAUAUAUCUCACAUAUUUCCAUUUUGAAACAAAAACGACAAAAAGACAAAAUAAUUGAAUAUUAAUAUAUCUAGUAUAUUAGGUAUACAGAGUUAACGACGACAUAAAUGUUAUAUCCAGUAACUUAUGGUUUAUGUUAUAUGAUAUUAAAAUAUGUAAGAUACUGAUAUCGCUUAUCUCUCUUACUUGGGCAAUUGUCAGAUCUCUAACUACAGCCCUUGCGAUUAUACCUAAGCCUGAAAACAUUAUUGUAUGCAAUGUGUGUUUUGCUAUAUUUGUGUAGUUCUUUCUUUCAGGUUGCAUAAACGUGCACAUGUCUCAUCAAUGCAAA